UUGUGAUUUUUGUUUUGUGUGUGCUUUGGCACUGCUAAAUUAUUUUCCCGCCAAAUUUGUAGCUUUCUUUGCAGUGUGCAUUUCUUUUUGCAUCUGAGAAAUGCUCGUUGCAAAGAGUUCCCGCCAUUUGUAUGAUAAUUCGAGCCACAUUAUUGGCUAAUUCUAAAUUAUGCACACGUGGAGGCUAGUGAUUGGCUUGCUAGCUGUAUAAAAAGCUUGAGUGGUUUCUGCCCAAAUUGGAGGACUCCAUGAACACCAGGAGGAGGGAUCUUCACGCUGUGUGAAGAUCUCUAAGCGCUGCGGAGCCUAUCAGACCCAGCACAUUUUGAGCAGGCAACAGAGGUCUGAUCAGUCUCUAGCCUCUCCCCAUCACCGAUUGAUUCCUAGACGUAUCCCUUCCCCUGCGCGCAAAAGAGACAGACCCAUGGAGCUUCAACAACUCCGUGGGAGAGAACCGAGCUUGUGGUAGUCCUCAAACGAGGAUUUAACUGGAGCUGUGCCUGGAAAACUGUCCAGCCUACACCGCGACCAUCUUCGGUGUGUUCAGCUUUAUCAGUCAGGCAAAAUCAAAGAUGACAAGAAGAAUACUCAAGAAGGCAGUGUUGCCUUGUGCUAAGGGUACUGGUCCCUGGAAUGGCUGCCCACACCCACAAGACUUGGACACCGCAGCCACCUCAUCUCCCCGCCUCUGCAGAUGUUCCUGAAUGCCUUUGGUGAGCCAAAGGGGCUUUUGAGCACUCUUGCCUGCUUUGACUCAUGUUGGGACUGUCAUCCCUUGGGCUCGGAGGAUCACCACCUUAAGGAACGACCACUCAUCUUGGACAUCUAGUUCCCCUACUCUCUGGAACUGCAUUGCCUCUCCUUCCAAUCUUCUCAACUCAUUGAAGUUGGCCCUCCUGAAGUCAAGGGCUCCAUUCACUGCAUGGCUAGCUCUCCCAGCUGAUCGUGCUAAUUACCAUCCAGGGCUCUUGGCAUGGCUUUUCCCCAGGUUGGGCUCGCCAGCAUGAUCAUCAAUUGAUUGAAAAAAACAGAGAAAUGUUAACACUGUCUAAAUAUUACCUCCUAUUUAUAUUCCCCAUGUCUGUGUUUAUUGAAACAGUUUGGUGCAAUCACAUCAGUGUGUUUAAACAGGAUGGAAAUUGCACUUGCUUUCUAAGCCUAUUUGCUAUUCAUUAUCUUUUUGUAUUUGAAGAGACUUGCAUGGUUUGAAGCUGCAAAAUGGGAUGAAAAAAUAAAAAUGUGUUCUUGCUUG